GGCCAUUUUUCAAUACUAAAAUUAUACUAAUAGUCAAUAAUGCUACCAGAGGUGCCCUAAAAAGCCUUCAACCCAAUAACAAUGAGCUGUGUCCUUGCAAUUCAGCUAAAGUUCUCAGUUGCAAGUUAUGACAAUUAGCAGAAACCCACUUAGUACCAGUGCUGGAUUAUCUAAGGGGCAUCAUCAACCUCACUAACCUCAGUGUUUACAGUAACAAAUAUAUGCAAUGUUAAAUUGGAAUAUCUUCACCACUCACACAUGCAUUUUUAAUAUAAAAUAUUCCAACCAUACGGUAUACCGUCGUUUAAACAAAACUGAGGGCCUGUUCAUAUGGGCAAAAGUUAUCCCGGUUAACGAGAGAACUUUUCGACUAGCCAAAUACUUUUGUUCUGUUCAUAUGGAAAAAUAUUAUCCCACUUACCGGGAAAAGUUUCCGGCUGUGACGUGGCACUGAACAUCAAUUAAAUUGAAAAGUUGCUGACACGACAAAAAGUUAUCCCGCUAAGCGGGAAAGUUGUGUUCAUGUGGGGAAAACAUUAUCCCGGUCACCGAGAUCUCGCCUUAUCCCGGUCACCGAGGAAAUGGUACACGGGAAAACUUUUCGUGUCAUAUGAAUGCAAUGUAACUUUUCAUAUUAUUUUCGUAACAAGGCGAGAUCUCGCUCGUAAACUUGUCGAAAAGUUUUCUCGCUAACCGAGAUAACUUCUGCCCAUAUGAACAGGCCCUAACUGAAGCAUUUUCUAAGCGGAGGAACUGCAAUAUGAGUUUUAUAUGUCCGAUCAUGGAUAAUAAAUGGAUAGGACUCUAGCUGACGUUACAGUCUAAACCUGGUUGCAAUCUGUGACGUCACGCGUAUUGCCAAAGUCUCGGCAUUUUUGUUGUUUCGCUUUAUUUCCGCUUUAAAAGAGUAAUAUUGAAGCAUAAACUGGUCUAAUUGUUUUAAAAACAUGCCUAAGCCACGACAAAGUAUUCAAGGUAAAUGUUUUUCGUCUUUGUUUUGU